UGGAGCAAUCAAGCUUACAAGUCCAAGCGGAAACACGCCACGCUGCUGAAGAAGCAGGCAUCAAUAUUAGCAGACCAAAAACUUUGAGCAGCUUAAGGAACAGUAUCAGAUGGUCAUAGUGAUGCCAUGCCAUGCAAUAAGAGGAGAAACAAAAUCCCACGCUCUCCCCCAGACAGGUUUGCGUCAGAAUAGGGAGAAAGAGGAAGAACUAUCCAAGCCCAAAUUAAAACCUCUUCGUUCUUUGCUAAGUGAUAAAGAUGAACACGUUGCAGAGAGUAAUGAGGUCAUGGCAGACGGGAAGAAGGAGUACUGAACAGUCUCCUGAUGAGUACUGAACAGUCUCUUGGGCAGAAUGAUGCUGAUAAAGGAGUAAAGAAACAAGAUGGUCGGCGCGGUUCGAACAGCAAAGGAGUAACAAAAGUUGCAUCGCAGGGAUUGCCAACGGGUCAACGAGAUGGCAUUGGUAGAAGCAGCGCGAAAGGAAAGGUCAAAGAGUUCAUGAAUAUCUUCAAUCAGGAAGCUGCUUUGAAACCUAAAGUUGACGUCUGACCUCAAGGUGGGAGCUUUCGUGUUGUUGCUGCUGUUUGUCUUCGUCCAGCUUUCAUGUUGGUGCUGUUUCGGUUCUAGGUUCAUUGCCUCAUGAAAACUUGUUUGGCUAUAGUUCGUAAAUCCAUGUCCAUCACAAGUUUGCAAACUCUUGUCGACUUUCAACGAGGAUGAACUGGAAUAACACGAGAGGUGUACUGUCGUGUUGCAGGAAGCAUGGACUCACUUCUAUUCACUUGGAUCUAUAUGAGCCAUCAAAACUUGCUUACUUCAUACUCA